rnacentral:tRNA from 1 species
GUCCUCGUAGUUCAAUGGAUAGAACGCAAGAUUGCGGAUCUUGUGAUCUAGGUUCGAUUCCUAGCGAGGGCA